rnacentral:rRNA from 1 species
CCUACGGGUGGCAGCAGUAGGGAAUAUUGCUCAAUGGGGGAAACCCUGAAGCAGCAACGCCGCGUGGGGGAUGAAGGUUUUCGGAUUGUAAACCCCUUUUGUUAGAGAAGAUAAUGACGGUAUCUAACGAAUAAGCACCGGCUAACUCCGUGCCAGCAGCCGCGGUAAUACGGAGGGUGCAAGCGUUAAUCGGACUUACUGGGUGUAAAGGGAGCGUAGGCGGGAUAGCAAGUCAGAUGUGAAAGCCUUUGGUUGAACCAGAGGACUGCAUUUGAAACUGUUAUGCUAGAGUGUCGGAGAGGUAGGUGGAAUUCUUGGUGUAGUGGUAAAAUGCGUAGAGAUCAGGAGGAAUACUCGUGGCGAAGGCGGCCUGCUAGAACAUAACUGACGCUGAGGCUCGAAAGCGUGGGGAGCAAACAGGAUUAGAUACCCUUGUAGUC